rnacentral:rRNA from 1 species
AUUGAACGCUGGCGGCAUGCUUUACACAUGCAAGUCGAACGGUAACAGGGAGCUUGCUCCGCUGACGAGUGGCGAACGGGUGAGUAAUGCGUCGGAACGUGCCGAGUAGUGGGGGAUAACGCAGCGAAAGUUGUGCUAAUACCGCAUACGUACUGAGGUAGAAAGUGGGGGACCUUCGGGCCUCACGCUAUUCGAGCGGCCGACGUCUGAUUAGCUAGUAGGUGAGGUAAAGGCUCACCUAGGCGACGAUCAGUAGCGGGUCUGAGAGGAUGAGCCGCCACGCUGGGACUGAGACACGGCCCAGACUCCUACGGGAGGCAGCAGUGGGGAAUUUUGGACAAUGGGCGAAAGCCUGAUCCAGCCAUGCCGCGUGUCUGAAGAAGGCCUUCGGGUUGUAAAGGACUUUUGUCGGGGAGGAAAUCCCCAGCGCUAAUACCGCUGGGGGAUGACAGUACCUGAAGAAUAAGCACCGGCUAACUACGUGCCAGCCGCAGCAGUAAAAC